UCAUGGUUAAGUGGGAAACGAUGUGGGAAGGCCCAGACAGCCAGGAUGUUGGCUUAGAAGCAGCCAUCAUUUAAAGAAAGCGUAAUAGCUCACUGGUCGAGUCGGCCUGCGCGGAAGAUGUAACGGGGCUAAACCAUGCACCGAAGCUGCGGCAGCGACACUGUGUGUUGUUGGGUAGGGGAGCGUUCUGUAAGCCUGUGAAGGUGUCUGUGAGGAUGCUGGAGGUAUCAGAAGUGCGAAUGCUGACAUAAGUAACGAUAAAGCGGGUGAAAAGCCCGCUCGCCGGAAGACCAAGGGUUCCUGUCCAACGUUAAUCGGGGCAGGGUGAGUCGACCCCUAAGGCGAGGCCGAAAGGCGUAGUCGAUGGGAAACAGGUUAAUAUUCCUGUACUUGGUGUUACUGCGAAGGGGGGACGGAGAAGGCUAUGUUGGCCGGGCGACGGUUGUCCCGGUUUAAGCGUGUAGGCUGGUUUUCCAGGCAAAUCCGGAAAAUCAAGGCUGAGGCGUGAUGACGAGGCACUACGGUGCUGAAGCAACAAAUGCCCUGCUUCCAGGAAAAGCCUCUAAGCAUCAGGUAACAUCAAAUCGUACCCCAAACCGACACAGGUGGUCAGGUAGAGAAUACCAAGGCGCUUGAGAGAACUCGGGUGAAGGAACUAGGCAAAAUGGUGCCGUAACUUCGGGAGAAGGCACGCUGAUAUGUAGGUGAAGUCCCUCGCGGAUGGAGCUGAAAUCAGUCGAAGAUACCAGCUGGCUGCAACUGUUUAUUAAAAACACAGCACUGUGCAAACACGAAAGUGGACGUAUACGGUGUGACGCCUGCCCGGUGCCGGAAGGUUAAUUGAUGGGGUCAGCGCAAGCGAAGCUCUUGAUCGAAGCCCCGGUAAACGGCGGCCGUAACUAUAACGGUCCUAAGGUAGCGAAAUUCCUUGUCGGGUAAGUUCCGACCUGCACGAAUGGCGUAAUGAUGGCCAGGCUGUCUCCACCCGAGACUCAGUGAAAUUGAACUCGCUGUGAAGAUGCAGUGUACCCGCGGCAAGACGGAAAGACCCCGUGAACCUUUACUAUAGCUUGACACUGAACAUUGAGCCUUGAUGUGUAGGAUAGGUGGGAGGCUUUGAAGUGUGGACGCCAGUCUGCAUGGAGCCGACCUUGAAAUACCACCCUUUAAUGUUUGAUGUUCUAACGUGGACCCGUGAUCCGGGUUGCGGACAGUGUCUGGUGGGUAGUUUGACUGGGGCGGUCUCCUCCUAAAGAGUAACGGAGGAGCACGAAGGUUGGCUAAUCCUGGUCGGACAUCAGGAGGUUAGUGCAAUGGCAUAAGCCAGCUUGACUGCGAGCGUGACGGCGCGAGCAGGUGCGAAAGCAGGUCAUAGUGAUCCGGUGGUUCUGAAUGGAAGGGCCAUCGCUCAACGGAUAAAAGGUACUCCGGGGAUAACAGGCUGAUACCGCCCAAGAGUUCAUAUCGACGGCGGUGUUUGGCACCUCGAUGUCGGCUCAUCACAUCCUGGGGCUGAAGUAGGUCCCAAGGGUAUGGCUGUUCGCCAUUUAAAGUGGUACGCGAGCUGGGUUUAGAACGUCGUGAGACAGUUCGGUCCCUAUCUGCCGUGGGCGCUGGAGAACUGAGGGGGGCUGCUCCUAGUACGAGAGGACCGGAGUGGACGCAUCACUGGUGUUCGGGUUGUCAUGCCAAUGGCACUGCCCGGUAGCUAAAUGCGGAAGAGAUAAGUGCUGAAAGCAUCUAAGCACGAAACUUGCCCCGAGAUGAGUUCUCCCUGACCCUUUAAGGGUCCUGAAGGAACGUUGAAGACGACGACGUUGAUAGGCCGGGUGUGUAAGCGCAGCGAUGCGUUGAGCUAACCGGUACUAAUGAACCGUGAGGCUUAACCUU
rnacentral:rRNA from 1 species